rnacentral:rRNA from 1 species
UAAGCUAGUGGCGGACGGGUGCGUAACGUGUGGGUAAUCUGCCUUUGUCAUAGGAAUAACUGCUUGAAAAAGUAGCUAAUACCAAAUAACAUAUCGUAUAGGCAUCUAUAAGAUAUCAAAGAGAAAUCGGACAAAGAUGAGCCCGCAUCUGAUUAGCUGGUUGGUAGGGUAAAAGCCUACCAAGGCGACGAUCAGUAGCCGGCCUGAGAGGGUGAACGGCCACAUUGGAACUGAGACACGGUCCAAACUCCUACGGGAGGCAGCAGUGGGGAAUAUUGCACAAUGGGGGGAACCCUGAUGCAGCAACGCCGCGUGAGUGAAGAAGGCUUUCGAGUCGUAAAACUCUGUUGUAAGGGAAGAUAAUGACGGUACCUUAAAAGAAAGCCCCGGCUAACUACGUGCCAGCAGCCGCGGUAAUACGUAGGGGGCAAGCGUUAUCCGGAAUAACUGGGCGUAAAGGGUGCGCAGGUGGUCUGUCAAGUUAGUGGUGAAAGGCAUAGGCUCAACCAAUGUAAGCCAUUAAAACUGACGGACUUGAGUGCAGGAGAGGAAAGUGGAAUUCCUAGUGUAGCGGUGAAAUGCGUAGAUAUUAGGAGGAAUACCGGUGGCGAAGGCGACUUUCUGGACUGUAACUGACACUGAGGCACGAAAGCGUGGGGAGCAAACAGGAUUAGAUACCCUGGUAGUCCACGCCGUANACGAUGAGUACUAGGUGUCGGGAGGAAUCUCGGUGCCGAAAGUAACACAUUAAGUACUCCGCCUGGGGAGUACGCUCGCAAGAUAAAACUC